ACACGACUACAUUAGAUACCCGUGUAGUCCCAGCCCUAAACGAUGCGCGUUAGGUGUAUCGGUGACCACGAGUCACCGAGGUGCCGAAGGGAAACCGUGAAACGUGCCGCCUGGGAAGUACGGUCGCAAGGCUGAGACUUAAAGGAAUUGGCGGGGGAGCACCACAACGGGUGGAGCCUGCGGUUUAAUUGGACUCAACGCCGGGAAGCUCACCGGAUAAGACAGCGGAAUGAUUGCCGGGCUGAAGACCCUGCAUGACCAGCUG
rnacentral:rRNA from 1 species